GAUGAAGAACGUAGCGAAAUGCGAUAAGUAAUGUGAAUUGCAGAAUUCAGUGAAUCAUCGAAUCUUUGAACGCACAUUGCGCCCGCCAGUAUUCUGGCGGGCAUGCCUGUUCGAGCGUCAUUUCAACCUUCAAGCCCCCGGCUUGUGUUGGGGACCUGCGGCUGCCGCAGGCCCUGAAAACCAGUGGCGGGCUCGCUAGUCACUCCGAGCGUAGUAAUACAUCUCGCUCAGGGCGUGCUGCGGGUUCCGGCCGUUAAAAAGCCUUAUUUACCCAAGGUUGACCUCGGAUCAGGUAGGAAGACCCGCUGAACUUAAGCAUAUCAAUAAGCGGAGGA
rnacentral:misc_RNA from 1 species